UACGUAGGGUCCGAGCGUUGUCCGGAAUUAUUGGGCGUAAAGAGCUCGUAGGCGGUUUGUCGCGUCUGCUGUGAAAUCCCGAGGCUCAACCUCGGGCCUGCAGUGGGUACGGGCAGACUGGAGUGCGGUAGGGGAGAAUGGAAUUCCUGGUGUAGCGGUGAAAUGCGCAGAUAUCAGGAGGAACGCCGGUGGCGAAGGCGGGUCUCUGGGCCGAUACUGACGCUGAGGAGCGAAAGCGUGGGGAGCGAACAGG
rnacentral:rRNA from 1 species